AGUUGCUUCCUUUCUACUGUUAGUACACCAGGAGGCUGGAGCUCAAGAAGGGAGAAAGAUGACAAACGGAUUGGAAAGCAAGGUGAAAAAUAAUUCAGAGAGGUUGGGGAGAUCAUGGCACAGGCAUCAGGACCUGAGUUUGGACCCUAGCAUCCGUGUAAUGGCUGAGCUCUUAUCUCCACACUCCUGAAGGUAGGGAAGAAGAAACGUGAAUUUCUGGAAUCCAUUGGCACGUAUGCCCAUCUACAUGAGCAUGUAUGUGCACCUCACACAAAGAGAAAGAAAAAGCGAUGAAUCCAUCAGCCAGGAUGACCUUGAACAUCUGGGCUUCCUGCUUCCACCUUCCAGAGGCAGGUUUUACAGGGGUGUGUCACCAUGCCUGGCUGGGCAGUUGACAUUUUUUCAUGGAGACUUAAAAAGCAACCAACUAUAUGUCUCUAAGUUGCUCUUUCUCAAAAAUAAAUAACAAAGUAUCAAGAAUGAAA
ensembl:lincRNA 5330429C05Rik RIKEN cDNA 5330429C05 gene